AUUCAAUGCCUGUGCUUCUCAGAAAGCAAUUCCCUGUUUGAUGUAAAUUGAAGGGGUUCCAUUUGCAGCAAACAUGGUGAGAUCGGGGAGCCGGCCAUCACAAAAGCUCCGAGUCUCUCUGGUUUUUGUGGUGAGGAAUGAGACGGGCUUCACCUUCUUCGUGCUUCAAACCCAUAGCGUUCACCUCUACACGCACUCACAUGCUUUCUCUCCUGCUCAAACAGACUUCAGAACGCCGCCCAGCUCAGCAACUCCACUCUCAGCUGACCGCCGCCGGCAGCCGCUGCGCCGACGACAUGCCGCUCUGGAAUGCUCUCCUCCGACACUAUUCCCUGGGUGUCUUCCCCCAAGAAUCCCUCUUCCUUUUCAAAUUCCUGCAAUCCUUCUCUCCUUCUCUUUCCUUUGAUAGCUUCACCUACUCUUUCCUGCUUAAGGCGUGUACCAAUCUCCGCUACGCCGUUGGGCGAGUUCAGCUUCACGCUCUCACUUUCAAAGCUGGUUUCGAAUCCCACGUGUACGUACAGACGGCUCUGGUUGAUGCGUACUGUACUUCUGGGUCGUUGCUGGAGGCCCAAAUAGUGUUCGACGGAAUGCCUCACAGGAACCCCGUGAGCUGGAAUGUAUUGAUUACUGGUUUGAUUAAGUGGGGCGAGCUCAGCCUCGCUCGCUCUCUCUUCACUCGGAUGCCAACCCGGACGGUUGUCUCCUGGACUGGUGUCAUUGAUGGAUACGCGCGGAAUCAUCAGCCGAGAGAGGCACUCUCCUUGUUUGGGACAAUGGUUGGGCAUGAAGGCGUAAGACCUACCCAAGUAACUAUGCUGGCCAUUUUCCCUGCCAUUUCAGGUCUUGGGGCCCUUCCCAUUUGUCAAUCAAUCCACGCCUAUGCAGAAAAAAAGGGGUUUACAACACGUGACAUCCGUAUUAUGAAUUCCCUCAUAGAUGCAUACGCAAAAUGUGGGUGCAUAUGGAGUGCGUCUAGAGUUUUUGAGGAGAUAGUAGCCGAUGUGAGAAAUUUGGUGUCCUGGACGUCAAUCAUAUCUGGGUUUGCAAUGCAUGGGAGGGCGAAAGAUGCGCUUGAAAAUUUUGAGAGAAUGGCGAAGGCAUGUCUAAGGCCGAAUAGAAUCACAUUCUUGAGCAUUCUACAUGCCUGUAGUCAUGGAGGUUUGGUUGAGGAGGGGCUUGGAUUUUUCAGAAAAAUGACAAAUGAAUAUCAGAUUAUUCCAGAUAUUAAGCACUAUGGUUGCUUGAUAGACAUGUUAGGGAGGGCUGGGAGAUUGGAUGAAGCAGAGAGGAUUGCUUCUGAGAUUCCUGCUGAGAUUGCUAAUGUAGUCAUCUGGAGGACAAUUUUGGGUGCUUGUAGCUUUCAUGGUUAUAUUGAGAUGGGAGAGAGAGUCACAGAGAAGAUAAUGGAGAUGGAGAGAGCACAUGGUGGGGAUUAUGUUCUUAUGUCCAACAUCUUUUCUGGUAGUGGAAGAUUUGAUGAUGCCACAAGGGUGAGAAGAUUGAUGGACAAGAGUAAUGCCUCCAAAGUUCAAGGCCUUAGUUUGGUCUGACAAUCUGAUCGAUAGAUGAACAAAAUGAAGUGAAAGAUGGGGUUUGUGCCUUUGGUAACGUGGCCAUGCUUCAAGUUACCUAUCAAAAAAUCCAAAAUGCAAAGGUCUUAAGGGCCUAACUUACCAGCAUGGGAUCCCUGAACAAAGAAGAAGAUUGGUGGAGGGUUUGAGAAGGAUGGAUUGUAUUAUUUAAAUGAUGGUGGUGGUGGAUCCAAUUCUAUUUCUAAUGAUGGUGUUUAUCUAGAUCAGUGGCAUUUUCAUUGGAUCAUCCAUCCUUCAAAAACUUUAACAGCUGAGGUUGGACCAAGCAGUCGUGAGGUUCAAAGUUCAAACCCUGCAAUUGAAAAUGGGAAAAAAGAAGCCAUUUUGUUAUCUUAAGACCUAGCUUUAUUUAUUUAUUUAUUUAUUUUUUUUUUUCUGAAUACUCGGUAUAUAUGAAUAACCUUUGAACCUACAGAAGUCAGGAAAAAAUUGAUUGGGUAUUAAUUCUUCUGAAAGUUAAACUUGCAGAUCAAUGAGACACCAAAUUCCUGACUUUCUGCAGAUGAUGGAACUGGAGAGUCCUCAUGAACUGGAGACAAUUAGUAAUAAUGUUUUUUUUUUUUGUAUGUAAUCAACUUAUCAUAUAUGCUGUGGUUGAGAGUUUAUAGAUGCUUCAUUCUGCAAGUGAGUGCAGCAGCAGCAGUUCUCUGGAAUGGAUGCUCCUCGACAAGUUCAUGUAACACAAGAAGAUCAGGAGGAAAAACAAAUGAUUGUGCCAUCGGUCACUCUGGAUGAACCGUGAUCAAUCUGAGUACUGAACAGCGUCGUAUUGGAGUGAGAACAGCAGCACAAGAAGCACCCCAGGGCCAGGGGCACCUCUAAUUUGUUACAUACAAGUUCUACAAUUAUGAUCCAUAUAAUUCUGGUUACAUUCUCCAUUACACCCUCAAGAAUUUCUGAAAAUGUGGGGUUUCAUUCAUUUUGAUACAGACAUACAUAUACAUACAUACAUACAUACAUAUAUAUAUAUAUAUAUAUAUAUAUAUAAAAUAGCUUGUGUCUGAGAAUUGCCCCAUUCAAAAAUUUCCCCUGUUCUUAUAGGUCAA